UACGAAGGGGGCUAGCGUUGCUCGGAAUUACUGGGCGUAAAGGGCGCGUAGGCGGCACUGUUAGUCAGGCGUGAAAGUCCUGGGCUCAACCUGGGAACUGCGCCUUGAUACGGCAGAGCUAGAGGAUGGAAGAGGCUCGCGGAAUUCCCAGUGUAGAGGUGAAAUUCGUAGAUAUUGGGAAGAACACCGGUGGCGAAGGCGGCGAGCUGGUCCAUUGACUGACGCUGAGGCGCGACAGCGUGGGGAGCAAACAGG
rnacentral:rRNA from 1 species